CCUACGGGAGGCAGCAGUGAGGAAUAUUGGUCAAUGGGCGCAAGCCUGAACCAGCCAAGCCGCGUGCGGGAUGACGGAUCUAUGGUUUGUAAACUUCUUUUGUACGGGGAUAAACCCCGGUACGUGUAUUGGUUUGUAAGUAUCUUAUGAAUAAGGAUCGGCUAACUCCGUGCCAGCAGCCGCGGUAAUACGGAGGAUCCGAGCGUUAUCCGGAUUUAUUGGGUUUAAAGGGUGCGUAGGCGGUUUUCUAAGUUAGAGGUGAAAUGUUGGGGCUCAACCAUGAAAUUGCCUCUAAUACGGGGGGACUAGAGAAUAUUUGAGGUAGGCGGAAUGCAUGGUGUAGCGGUGAAAUGCAUAGAGAUCAUACAGAACACCGAUUGCGAAGGCAGCUUACCAAGCUAUAGCUGACGUUGAGGCACGAAAGCGUGGGUAGCGAACAGGAUUAGAUACCCCGGUAGUC
rnacentral:rRNA from 1 species